rnacentral:tRNA from 1 species
UCCCUGAUAGCUCAGUUGGUAAAGAAUCUGCUUGCAAUGCAGGAGACUCUGGUUCGAUUCCUGGGUUGGGAA